GUGCUUGCUUCAGCAGCACAUAUACUAAAAUUGGAACAAUAGAGAUUAGCAUGGCCCCUGAGCAAAGAUGACAUGCAAAUUUGUGAAGCGUUCCAUAUUUUU
ensembl:snRNA U6 U6 spliceosomal RNA